UACGUAGGUGGCAAGCGUUGUCCGGAAUUAUUGGGCGUAAAGCGCGCGCAGGCGGCCUCUUAAGUCUGAUGUGAAAGCCCCCGGCUCAACCGGGGAGGGCCAUUGGAAACUGGGAGGCUUGAGUAUAGGAGAGGAGAGUGGAAUUCCACGUGUAGCGGUGAAAUGCGUAGAGAUGUGGAGGAACACCAGUGGCGAAGGCGACUCUUGGCCUAUAACUGACGCUUGAGGCGCGAAAGCGUGGGGAGCAAACAGG
rnacentral:rRNA from 1 species